rnacentral:rRNA from 1 species
UGGGGAAUAUUGGACAAUGGGCGCAAGCCUGAUCCAGCAAUGCCGCGUGUGUGAAGAAGGCCUGCGGGUUGUAAAGCACUUUCAGUGGGGAGGAAGGCCUCGGCGUUAAUAUCGUCGAGGAUUGACGUUACCUACAGAAGAAGCACCGGCUAACUCUGUGCCAGCAGCCGCGGUAAUACAGAGGGUGCAAGCGUUAAUCGGAAUUACUGGGCGUAAAGGGCGCGUAGGUGGUUAAUUAAGUCAGAUGUGAAAUCCCCGGGCUUAACCUGGGAAUUGCAUUUGAAACUGAUUGGCUAGAGUACGGGAGAGAGAAGUGGAAUUUCCGGUGUAGCAGUGAAAUGCGUAGAUAUCGGAAGGAACACCAGUGGCGAAGGCGACUUCCUGGCCCGUUACUGACACUGAGGCGCGAAAGCGUGGGGAGCGAACA